rnacentral:rRNA from 1 species
GAUGAACGCUGGCGGCGUGUCUAAUACAUGCAAGUCGAGCGAACAGACGAGGAGCUUGCUCCUCUGACGUUAGCGGCGGACGGGUGAGUAACACGUGGAUAACCUACCUAUAAGACUGGGAUAACUUCGGGAAACCGGAGCUAAUACCGGAUAAUAUAUUGAACCGCAUGGUUCAAUAGUGAAAGACGGUUUUGCUGUCACUUAUAGAUGGAUCCGCGCCGCAUUAGCUAGUUGGUAAGGUAACGGCUUACCAAGGCAACGAUGCGUAGCCGACCUGAGAGGGUGAUCGGCCACACGGGAACUGAGACACGGUCCAGACUCCUACGGGAGGCAGCAGUAGGGAAUCUUCCGCAAUGGGCGAAAGCCUGACGGAGCAACGCCGCGUGAGUGAUGAAGGUCUUCGGAUCGUAAAACUCUGUUAUUAGGGAAGAACAAAUGUGUAAGUAACUAUGCACGUCUUGACGGUACCUAAUCAGAAAGCCACGGCUAACUACGUG